AGGAGUGUUUAAUCCGGCUUAGAAACCGUUAAACGUUUAGAAUUACUGUAAAUUUAAUUGUCUCCCAUUUAGGGCACUAUAACGGGGAUUUACUACCUCGCUAUUGCCAGGAUAAGCGCAUAGAAAGAACUCGAACCGUGCACGUGGGAUACAUGCGGUAAGAACACGUGGUUGUCUUUCUCAGUUGAGUUCGAGAUGUCGAGCGAGGAGGAAGGCGGAGACCUAUUUCUGGAAGUAAGCGAGCAGCAGAUUUGCGAACAAACUGGGCACCGGAGUGGUGCUGUCCGCAUCUACAAACGCACCAGCGACGAUGUAAAGUCCAAGGCUGGAAGGUCUAUCCCAAAAAGGGUCUCUCUACUUUACAUUUAACUUUCAUUAAAGGAUGUUACUGGC